ACGCUUCUUUUUCCACCGGAGCUUGCUCCACCGGAAAAAGAGGAGUGGCGAACGGGUGAGUAACACGUGGGUAACCUGCCCAUCAGAAGGGGAUAACACUUGGAAACAGGUGCUAAUACCGUAUAACAAUCGAAACCGCAUGGUUUUGAUUUGAAAGGCGCUUUCGGGUGUCGCUGAUGGAUGGACCCGCGGUGCAUUAGCUAGUUGGUGAGGUAACGGCUCACCAAGGCCACGAUGCAUAGCCGACCUGAGAGGGUGAUCGGCCACAUUGGGACUGAGACACGGCCCAAACUCCUACGGGAGGCAGCAGUAGGGAAUCUUCGGCAAUGGACGAAAGUCUGACCGAGCAACGCCGCGUGAGUGAAGAAGGUUUUCGGAUCGUAAAACUCUGUUGUUAGAGAAGAACAAGGAUGAGAGUAACUGUUCAUCCCUUGACGGUAUCUAACCAGAAAGCCACGGCUAACUACGUGCCAGCAGCCGCGGUAAUACGUAGGUGGCAAGCGUUGUCCGGAUUUAUUGGGCGUAAAGCGAGCGCAGGCGGUUUCUUAAGUCUGAUGUGAAAGCCCCCGGCUCAACCGGGGAGGGUCAUUGGAAACUGGGAGACUUGAGUGCAGAAGAGGAGAGUGGAAUUCCAUGUGUAGCGGUGAAAUGCGUAGAUAUAUGG
rnacentral:rRNA from 1 species